GGCAGUACCGUGCAUCGCUGCCGCGGGCUGCGCAGGGCCGGGCCCGACCGAGCCGAGCCGCGUCCCCGGUGCCGGCGGAGAAGGAGCGGGAGCGGGGCGAGAGCGGGGCGGGAGCGGCCGGUGACAGAUUCCGGAAGUGAGUCCUAGCCAUGGAAAUGAGCACAGCUUUUGCUCCAUGCCUCCAUGAAGGACUCUCACAAAUGAUUCUCCUCCAGCAUGGAAAACAGAGGAGCUCUGCAGGACACCACUGACCUGGAAAACCCUCAGCUGCUGCCACAGCAGGAGAUGUCAAGAGACAGAAAGCCUGCCCGGAUGAACGUGGGGUUCCUGCCUAUCCCGCUGCUGUGUGUCUUUCUGGCACCCUGUUUCUAAAAUUCAUGUAAUUCACCAGUGGCAUUUUAGGAUUUCCUACAUGUGCUAAAUUGUAAUGAAAGACAUCUGCUGAUGGCAAAGUCUCUGGCCUCAGAGGAUUACAUGGGGUAGGGCUGCCUGAGACAGCCCAAAUCCACUUGAGACUGAAAAGGUGUGAGCAGUAAAUAAAAGGAAAUCCUGGAUCACCAUAUAGUGUUCAGCUCCCACACUUUGACCUCCUUUGGUCCCUUCUAUAUUUUUUUAAGAUCAUAUUUCUUUAUGUGCUGCCUGGUUUAAAAGCCAUCAUAAAUCUGUGCUGUGCAGCAAGAAUAACAGCGAAGGCACCGUGUAAUACAAGGCGCUCUAAUUCCAUCCCAGGCACUCGGAGGGAGCUGUAAAUCAGUUUGGAGAGGCCUUAGACAGGAGAACUGUAGGGAAGGCUGGGAAGGCAGCCACAGCCUGGCCCCUGCCACUGGAGCCCAUCUGCCCUCCAGCUGAGGUGAGCACACCUGCCUCAAAAAUAAAGGGUUCUGAUGUCUCCAGAGUUGAACAGGGAUCAAACUACUUUAAAUACACUUUGAGGAGAAGCACACCUACCAUCUUUGGUGGGAAUGCUCUGUGGGGUGUGCCAUGCACUGCAGGUGGGAGCAAGGCCUGGCCCUUGCUCAUGCCAUGUGUGUCCAGGUUUGCCUCCACCUGGCAUCACCUGGGGAAACCAAACACCACACCUGGCUGGGCUCACCUGUGGCCAAACCACUCUUGUGUCCCAGCUGCAGGUGUGGCUCUGGGUCAGGGAAGGCUCCACCAAUCUCGUGGGCCUUUCACAGCUGUACGUGAGUGAUGGCUGGUUUGAGGUGUGUACCCACACACUCACCCAAACCAAUGGAGAUGUAGCUCCUCCACUGGAAAUUUGGGAGGAGCUGGAGCUAGGGAUAUGCUAUCAUAUUCUAGACAGUAACAUCUCUUUUUCUUUGCUCUAGUGGGAAAAAACUUUCAAGUGUGGAAGUUUUCUGAGGAAGACUUUCCUAAUAAUAAUUCUGCUCAAGUUUUGAAAAAAAAUUGUGAAUAAAUUUUUCUUUUUUCUGCCAGCUAGUAUAACAUGAUGGAUGUAAUAUUUUUAUAAGGUUUCUUUGUGCUACAGUUAAAACAUAGUAAAUUUUGGAAAAGAUGAAUUGCAAAGGGGAAUGAAAUGAAAACAUAUUUGUCCAUUUGAACUUCCAAACUCAGACUCUUAAGUUUUCCUUAGAUGCAGGAAUAAAAGAUAAAUCAUUGAAUUCUGGGCCAUCAAUCAUUUUAUUCUACCCACGGUAAAAAGCAAAAAAGAGGAGAGAAAAAGAAAAUACAACCAAAGUUGUGGCCAUGUUGAAACUUUGGAGAAAAUGGUUGAAUAAAAAGGAGGAAAGAAGUAUGUUGCAACCAUGAGUAUCCUAUGCCAAACCUCAGCAGAGGUCACUGGAAUGAGCCAGCAAGCCAAGCCUAAAUAAAACUAGGACCUGUGGGAUUCCCCAUCUGAUUUUCAAAUAGUUACUGCUACACUAUCAUUUGUCAAGCUUGCAGGGUAGUUUUUUACCAGAUGUGAGAAACACAGUACCAAAUCCAGCCUGAAGCCAGAGAGAAGAAUGUAUGCUUCCACAUGGGAAUAAUCUGCUCAGGAAGGACUGUAAAGUCUGAGACUGGACUGAAACCUCCCAGAUCCCGGAGCGCUGUGAAGUGUGUUUUAAUAAUUUCAUCACAACUGAGCUGCUGUGCUUGCCCCCACUGUAUCCCUGAGCUAUCCAUGGCAGAGAUGAGGACCACCAGAUCCUAAUGCCCAGAAAUCAGGGCAAAUCCAGAGACCAGGGGAGGUGAAACCUGUGUGGAAAUGGCAAAUCCAUCAGAUGAGAAACAGAUGUACAAGACUCUCUUGUGUUUUUGUGUGAAUCACUGCAGCACAGGCAGAAACUGAACUUGAAUUGCCUACAACCUCAAUCACCUCUACAUGAACAGCUUUCUGAAAAAGCAUGGUCAACAUGGGACACCUUCCUGAGAAGUAAACAGGAAGGAGCAAUUUAUAUUGUAAUCCUUUUAAAAGGCAAUACACAACACCAACCUCAAAAACCAAAACCAAACCCCAAGAACCAAACAGCACAUGCUGUAUUUUUAGAGAGAACUUUAGUCAGGUAGGGCAGUUUCUCUGUCUCUCCUUGCUCAGUUCAUGACAGCGAUCAUUGCCUGCUAAUCAGUCUUAUUUGGAGGAUUUACUCCUUGUUAUGUAAUUCCAGAUAUUUCUUGCAGUACUGAGCUUUUACUGUAUUUAGAUGGGUAAGAAAGAAAGGAAGAAUGACUCUGCAGAAGGGGUUUCAGAUACUUUAUUUUUACACCCGUACACAUAGUUUUCUGAGGUGUUUGGCACUAAGGGUGCAAUGUAUUAAAAUGAUUGAUUGAUUGCAUUUUAAAAAUAGAAGUACUGUUCUGAUACUAGGAUUAACUAUUAUCAUUAAGAUAUGACAGAAUUUUAAACAGCUUUGAAUUUGCACCCUUCUGUGAAUGUAAAGUGCCCUUCCCCAUCCCCCUUGCCCACGCUACACACAAACCAGAGUAUUUCAUAGAGCAACAGAGCAAAUGCCACUCACUUUUCUCCUCACAUGGCCAAUACCAGGACUACAGGAACAACUCCACAGUGCCCCUUCAAUUUCUGUAACCCAUUUUUAGUUUUCUUUCAGCAUAUUUGUAAGCUAUCCUGAUCCCUUUUUUCCCUGAACAAUGUUAU